rnacentral:rRNA from 1 species
AACGGAGGGGACUAGCGUUACUCAUCAUGACUGGGCGUAAAGGGUUCGUAGGCGGUCUGGUAAGUUUUAUACUAAGUAGUGAAGUAUAAAAAACUGCCUAACUAGAGUUUUAUGGAAGAUAGCAGUACUCUUAAUGGAGGGGUGAAAUCCUUAGAUAUUAACGGGGACUAUCGGUGGCGAAGGCGGCUAUCUAUGUAAUUAACUGACGCUGAGGAACGAAAGUAUAGGGAGCGAACAGG